rnacentral:lncRNA from 1 species
GUGGCAUCCACCAGAGUGAGACGCAUGGGGCUGUCAGGAACGGCUGGGUACAACUGCACGUGUUUCUAGGGAGCAGGGAUGUGCUGGUGCUUCUUGACAGUUUCUCUUCCAACCGCACUUUUGGAAAACAGUUGAAGGACUGCCAAGCUCGGUGGCACUGCGGUGGUUUCCAUUGGUGACAGAAAGAAAGCUAGAGCAGCAGUGUGUCCCCU